AACGUAGGUCCCGAGCGUUAUCCGGAUUUACUGGGCGUAAAGCGCGUUCAGGCGGUCUGGCAAGUCGGGCAUGAAAUCUCUCGGCUCAACCGGGAGGGGUUGUCCGAUACUGCUGGACUUGAGGGCAGGAGAGGGUGGUGGAAUUCCGGGUGUAGUGGUGAAAUGCGUAGAGAUCCGGAGGAACACCAGUGGCGAAGGCGGCCACCUGGCCUGCACCUGACGCUGAAACGCGAAAGCUAGGGGAGCGAACGGGAUUAGAAACCCCCGUAGUCC
rnacentral:rRNA from 1 species